UACGGAAGGCAGCAGUGGGGAAUAUUGCACAAUGGGCGCAAGCCUGAUGCAGCCAUGCCGCGUGUAUGAAGAAGGCCUUCGGGUUGUAAAGUACUUUCAGUCGUGAGGAAGGUGUUAAGGUUAAUAACCUUAGCAAUUGACGUUAGCGACAGAAGAAGCACCGGCUAACUCCGUGCCAGCAGCCGCGGUAAUACGGAGGGUGCGAGCGUUAAUCGGAAUUACUGGGCGUAAAGGGCACGCAGGCGGUUAAUUAAGUUGGAUGUGAAAUCCCCGGGCUUAACCUGGGAAUGGCAUUCAAGACUGGUUAGCUAGAGUCUUGUAGAGGGGGUAGAAUUCCAUGUGUAGCGGUGAAAUGCGUAGAGAUGUGGAGGAAUACCGGUGGCGAAGGCGGCCCCUGGACAAAGACUGACGCUCAUGUGCGAAAGCGUGGGGAGCGAAACAGGGAUUAGAUA
rnacentral:rRNA from 1 species